rnacentral:rRNA from 1 species
GCAUGUCGAACGUGAAGCAGGAGCUUGCUCCUGUGGAAAGUGGCAGACGGGUGAGUAACGCGUGGGAAUUUACCCAGCUCUACGGAAUAACGCAGGGAAACUUGUGCUAAUACCGUAUACGCACUUCGGGGGAAAGAUUUAUCGGAGUUGGAUGAGCCCGCGUUAGAUUAGUUUGUUGGUGGGGUAAUGGCCUACCAAGACUACGAUCUAUAGCCGGCCUGAGAGGGUGAAC